CCGGGGUGUGGGCGAAUGCCGGGACUCCUGGGCUGUAACUGACACUGAGGAGCGAAAGCAUGGGGAGCGAACAGGAUUAGAUACCCUGGUAGUCCAUGCCGUAAACGUUGGGCACUAGGUGUGGGGGACAUUCCACGUUCUCCGCGCCGUAGCUAACGCAUUAAGUGCCCCGCCUGGGGAGUACGGUCGCAAGGCUAAAACUCAAAGGAAUUGACGGGGGCCCGCACAAGCGGCGGAGCAUGCGGAUUAAUUCGAUGCAACGCGAAGAACCUUACCAAGGCUUGACAUACACUGGACCGUUCUGGAAACAGUGCUUCUCUUUGGAGCUGGUGUACAGGUGGUGCAUGGUUGUCGUCAGCUCGUGUCGUGAGAUGUUGGGUUAAGUCCCGCAACGAGCGCAACCCUCGUUCUAUGUUGCCAGCACGUGAUGGUGGGAACUCAUAGGAGACUGCCGGGGUCAACUCGGAGGAAGGUGGGGAUGACGUCAAAUCAUCAUGCCCUUUAUGUCUUGGGCUUCACGCAUGCUACAAUGGCUGGUACAGAGAGAGGCGAACCCGUGAGGGUGAGCGAAUCCCUUAAAGCCAGUCUCAGUUCGGAUCGUAGUCUGCAAUUCGACUACGUGAAGUCGGAGUCGCUAGUAAUCGCAGAUCAGCAACGCUGCGGUGAAUACGUUCCCGGGCCUUGUACACACCGCCCGUCAAGUCACGAAAGUCGGUAACACCCGAAGCCGGUGUCCCACCCCUUUGGGGGAGGGGGGCCGCCUAAGGGGGAACGGGGGAUUGGGACU
rnacentral:rRNA from 1 species